GAUGAACGCUGGCGGCGUGCCUAAUACAUGCAAGUCGAGCGAACGGACGAGAAGCUUGCUUCUCUGAUGUUAGCGGCGGACGGGUGAGUAACACGUGGAUAACCUACCUAUAAGACUGGGAUAACUUCGGGAAACCGGAGCUAAUACCGGAUAAUAUUUUGAACCGCAUGGUUCAAAAGUGAAAGACGGUCUUGCUGUCACUUAUAGAUGGAUCCGCGCUGCAUUAGCUAGUUGGUACGGUAACGGCUUACCAAGGCAACGAUGCAUAGCCGACCUGAGAGGGUGAUCGGCCACGCUGGAACUGAGACACGGUCCAGACUCCUACGGGAGGCAGCAGUAGGGAAUCUUCCGCAAUGGGCGAAAGCCUGACGGAGCAACGCCGCGUGAGUGAUGAAGGUCUUCGGAUCGUAAAACUCUGUUAUUAGGGAAGAACAUAUGUGUAAGUAACUGUGCACAUCUUGACGGUACCUAAUCAGAAAGCCACGGCUAACUACGUG
rnacentral:rRNA from 1 species